rnacentral:rRNA from 1 species
CCUACGGGAGGCAGCAGUGGGGGAUAUUGCACAAUGGGGGGAACCCUGAUGCAGCGACGCCGCGUGGGUGAAGAAGCGCCUCGGCGCGUAAAGCCCUGUCAGCAGGGAAGAAAAUGACGGUACCUGAAGAAGAAGCCCCGGCUAACUACGGGCCAGCAGCCGCGGUAAUACGUAGGGGGCAAGCGUUAUCCGGAUUUACUGGGUGGAAAGGGGGCGCAGACGGCGAUGCAAGCCAGGAGUGAAAGCCCGGGGCCCAACCCCGGGACUGCUCUUGGAAGUGCGUGGCUGGAGUGCAGGAGGGGCAGGCGGAAUUCCUGGUGUAGCGGUGAAAUGCGUAGAUAUCAGGAGGAACACCGGUGGCGAAGGCGGCCUGCUGGACUGCAACUGACGUUGAGGCCCGAAAGCGUGGGGAGCAAACAGGAUUAGAUACCCUAGUAGUC